GAAACAAGUUACAGCAGCGCGUCUAACAGAGAGGAAUAUGUUAAUUAUCUUAAUAAGAAAAGAGGAGACUAUUGAAGGAGCAAGUCCUCCAAGAAACAGAGGGAGAGAGACUACAGGUGCUCUCAGGUGUGUACAGGCAGAAUCUGACGUGCUGCCGUACCUGGCGAUGAGCCUAGAAGGUAACAAACUCCAACCUGACUUCAGGACAAAUUGGGUCGUUUUCACAAACAAAAACACAAAUCUCCUCCGUCUGAGAUCUGCCGGGGAGCGGCAAAGACAAAACACAAGUCCAGGUGGUUCCAGGUCGCAGGUUCGAUCCCUGCAGUGUCUCUUCUAUCCAUCCCUGUCCAAUGAAACGAGGCUCCGGGCCGACCUCUGACCUCUGACCCCUCCGGUGAAACAACGACACG